rnacentral:rRNA from 1 species
AGUGAACGCUGGCGGUAGGCCUAACACAUGCAAGUCGAACGGCAGCACAGUAAGAGCUUGCUCUUACGGGUGGCGAGUGGCGGACGGGUGAGGAAUACAUCGGAAUCUACUUUUUCGUGGGGGAUAACGUAGGGAAACUUACGCUAAUACCGCAUACGACCUACGGGUGAAAGCAGGGGAUCUUCGGACCUUGCGCGAUUGAAUGAGCCGAUGUCGGAUUAGCUAGUUGGCGGGGUAAAGGCCCACCAAGGCGACGAUCCGUAGCUGGUCUGAGAGGAUGAUCAGCCACACUGGAACUGAGACACGGUCCCGACUCCUACGGGAGGCAGCAGUGGGGAAUAUUGGACAAUGGGCGCAAGCCUGAUCCAGCCAUACCGCGUGGGUGAAGAAGGCCUUCGGGUUGUACAGCCCUUUUGUUGGGAAAGAAAAGCAGCAGGUUAAUACCCCGCUGUUCUGACGGUACCCAAAGAAUAAGCACCGGCUAACUUCGUG